UUUUUGGAUGUCUCCUCUUCAAGUGCUGGUUUCUCUUCAAAUAAUAGUUCGUUAGGUGUUUCUUCCCGUUUUGGUUCUUCAGGUGCUUCUUCAGUUAUUGGUUUUGCAGCUUUCUCCUCAAUUGUCUCCUCAACCAAUGGUUCUUCAAGCUUCUCUUCCAUUGUUGUUUCUUUAGGUUUCUCUUCAAUUGCCGGUGGUUCAGGUUUUUUCUCAUCCACUGGUUCUUCUGGCUUCUCUGAAACUGCUGUUUCUUCUGAUUUCUCUUCAAUUGCUUGUUCUUCAUGUUUUUUUUCAACUACUGGCUCUUCAGUUUUUUCCUCAACUGAUGCAUAGUCAGCAAUGUCGUUGGUAUUGCAUGGAAUUGCAUUGUCUGUCUUGUCCUUUGAGUUUACAAUUGGCAAAUUAUGCAAGAAAAUUUUAAGUUUCAUUUAGUCUUUCAACAGAUAAACUUAUGUAAAUUCGUUGCACAUAUAAAGCUAAUAUGAUGGAUAGUUUUUAUGACAGUGUUUAUUUGUCACCUUCUCCUGAAGAGCUUCUGUUUCAGGUUCUUCCUCUUCAAUUGCUGGUUUUUCAUCUUUCUUUUCAACAACUAGUUCUUCAGAUGUGUCUUCAACUGUUGGUUCUUCAGGUUUCUCUUCAAGAGCUAGUUCUUCAGGUGUUUCCUCCCCUGCAAGCUCUUCAGGUGUUUCUAUAGUCGCCGGUUCUUCAGGUUUCUCUGUAAUCUCUAGUUCAGGUUUCUCCUCAACUGGUACUUCAGAUUUCUCCUCAAAUGUUGGUUCUUCAGGUUUCUCCUUAAUAGCUGGUACACCAGGUUUCUCUUCAAUGAGUGGUUCUUCAGUUUUUUCUUCAACUGCCGAUUCUUCAGGAUUUUCCUCACUGUCUGGAGAGUGUGCAACAUCAUUAUUGGUAUUGCAUGGGAUUUCACUGCCAGUUUUUUCGUUCGAGUCUACAAUUAGCAUAUUCUGCAAAAAGAAUUUAAUGUUUCACUUAGCCUUUCAAUAAAGAUGCAGAUGUGAAUCAUAGUACAUACAUAACUAACAAAAUGGAUAAACUUUGUGA
rnacentral:lncRNA from 1 species